rnacentral:rRNA from 1 species
GACGAACGCUGGCGGCGUGCUUAACACAUGCAAGUCGAACGGAAAGGCCCUGCAUUUGUGGGGUGCUCGAGUGGCGAACGGGUGAGUAACAAGUGAGUAACCUGCCCUUGACUUUGGGAUAACUUCAGGAAACUGGGGCUAAUACCGGAUAGGAGCUCCUGCUGCAUGGUGGGGGUUGGAAAGUUUCGGCGGUUGGGGAUGGAUUCGCGGCUUAUCAGCUUGUUGGUGGGGUAGUGGCUUACCCAGGCUUUGACGGGUAGCCGGCCUGAGAGGGUGACCGGCCACAUUGGGACUGAGAGACGGCCCAGACUCCUACGGGAGGCAGCAGGGGGGAAUAUUGCACAAUGGGCGGAAGCCUGAGGCAGCAACGCCGCGUGCGGGAUGACGGCCUUCGGGGUGUAAACCGCUUUCGCCUGUGACGAAGCGUGAGUGACGGUAAUGGGUAAAGAAGCACCGGCUAACUACGUG